rnacentral:rRNA from 1 species
GUGUUAAUUAGUUUAAAGAUAUAUUAUUGAGAUAAUAUAAUAAUUGAUCAAUCUAAAUUGUUUGUUUAUGUGUAUAAAGGGUAUAGAUCCAUUGUUUGAGGAGUACUGUAAAGGAAUAUAGUAUUUUAUUUUUAGUAGAAUUUUUAGUUCGUACCUUUUGUAUAAUGGGUUAAUGAUAUAUUUAAAUUUAUAAUAUAAUCUCGAAAUAAAAGGAUUUAUUUAAUAAAAAAUGUGUUAACGUUGUAUAGUUAUAUAUUUAAUAUUAAGUGGUAGUGAUAUGUUAAUCGGCUUUUAUGAUAACUAGUUUAUUAGUUUAUAAUAUUUAGUAUUAUAAUAUUAAUAUAAUAUAAUGGUUUAUUUAAUAUUAGUUUAUUAUAUGGGGGUAAGCUUCAUAUAUAAUAUAGAAUAUGUAUAUUUAUAAUUAUAUUAUUUAAGUAGAAUUAAUAGUAUUUCUCUUUAAAAAUAUAGUUUAAUAAAAAUAUUAAGGGGAUUUCAAGUUGUGUAAUUAAUUAACUAUAAAUGUUUAUAAAUUAGGUUUAAGUAAAUAUAAUGUUAAUAUGAGUAUUUAAUGUUUAAGUGUUAUAGGUUUAAUAAUAUUUAAUUGUAGAUAUUUAAUGUAAACUUAUUGUAAUUAAAUAAUAUAAAGGAAUUCGGCAAAUAUUAAUCUCGCCUGUUUAUCAAAAACAUGUCUCUUUGUAUUUUAUAAAUAAAGAGUUGGGCCUGCUCGGUGAUGUAUUUUAACAGCUGCGGUAUUUUAACUGUACUAAGGUAGCAUAAUAGUUUGCCUUAUAAAUUGAGGCUAGAAUGAAUGGUUUGACGAAGUUUAUGCUGUCUCUAUUUAUUUAUUAGAAAUUAAUUUUUAUAGUGAAAAAGCUUGGAUUUUUUAAAGGGACGAGAAGACCCUGUUGAGCUUAAAUUUUUGUUAUUAAUAUUUGUUAAUUAUUUAUUAAUUUUAAUUGGGGUGAUUAAGGAAUAAUUAUUAAAUAAUAACUUCCUUAGCAUAUAUUUAUACAUAUAAAGUAACCAAUUAUUUGUAUUGCUUGUGUUAUAGUUACCACAGGGAUAACAGCGUAAUUUACUUAAAGAGUUCUUAUUGAAAAGUGAGUUUGCGACCUCGAUGUUGGAUUAAAAUAACCUUAAGGUGUAGAAGCUUUAAUAGGUAAAUCUGUUCGAUUUUUAAAAUUUUACAUGAUCUGAGUUCAGACCGGCGUGAGCCAGGUUGGUUUCUAUCUUUUAAAAAUGUUAUUGUCUUUUUUAGUACGAAAGGACCAAAAAGUACUAAAUUUUUUAUUAUAUUAAACAGU